UACGUAGGGGGCAAGCGUUGUCCGGAAUCAUUGGGCGUAAAGCGCGCGUAGGUGGCCCGGUAAGUCCGCUGUAAAAGUCCAGGGCUCAACCCUGGAAAGCCGGUGGAUACUGUCGGGCUCGAGUCCGGAAGAGGCGAGUGGAAUUCCUGGUGUAGCGGUGGAAUGCGCAGAUAUCAGGAGGAACACCAAUUGCGAAGGCAGCUCGCUGGGACGUUACUGACGCUGAGACGCGAAAGCGUGGGGAGCAAACAGG
rnacentral:rRNA from 1 species